CCUACGGGUGGCAGCAGUGGGGAAUAUUGCACAAUGGGGGAAACCCUGAUGCAGCGACGCCGCGUGAGUGAAGAAGUAUCUCGGUACGUAAAGCUCUAUCAGCAGGGAAGAAAAUGACGGUACCUGACUAAGAAGCCCCGGCUAACUACGUGCCAGCAGCCGCGGGAAUACGUAGGGGGCAAGCGUUAUCCGGAUUUACUGGGUGUAAAGGGAGCGGAGACGGCAGCACAAGUCUGGAGUGAAAUCCCUGGGCUUAACCCCGGAACUGCUUUGGAAACUGGGCGGCUGGAGUGCAGGAGAGGUAGGCGGAAUUCCUGGUGUAGCGGUGAAAUGCGUAGAUAUUAGGAGGAACACCGGUGGCGAAGGCGGCUUACUGGACUGAUACUGACGUUGAGGCUCGAAAGCGUGGGGUGCAAACAGGAUUAGAUACCCGAGUAGUC
rnacentral:rRNA from 1 species